CGAGUCGCAAGCUCGCGAGAGUAAGCUAAUCUCUUAAAGCCGUUCUCAGUUCGGACUGUAGGCUGCAACUCGCCUACACGAAGUCGGAAUCGCUAGUAAUCGCGGAUCAGCAUGCCGCGGUGAAUACGUUCCCGGGCCUUGUACACACCGCCCGUCACACCAUGGGAGUUUGUAACGCCCAAAGUCGGUGGCCUAACCUCUAUGGAGGGAGCCGCCUAAGGCGGGACAGAUGACUGGGGUGAAGUCGUAACAAGGUACC
rnacentral:rRNA from 1 species